CACGCCGUAAACGAUGUGCACUAGAUCGAGGUGGCUCUCACGCCUUCUCGGUCGAAGGAAAACUGAUAAGUGCACCGCCUGGGGAGUACGGUCGCAAGGCUAAAACUCAAAGGAAUUGACGGGGGCUCACACAAGCGGUGGAGCAUGUUGCUUAAUUCGAGGCAACGCGAAGAACCUUACCUGGGCUUGACAUGCACGGAUUAACCUUUCGAAAGAUUGGCCACGCCUUCGGGUGGAACGUGCACAGGUGU
rnacentral:rRNA from 1 species